rnacentral:misc_RNA from 1 species
GCAUUUACUCUCCGCUACAGAGUGCACGGGGCAAAUCUCCAUCACCGUCGUGGGCUGCACGCACCUUUGCCGCUUCGCACAGACACAAGCACAGGCUUCCGUGUGCCGCUGUCCGACACUCAUAAACAUGGCUGUAGAUGACAUGGGAGCGGAGCUCUGGGCACUCGUGCACCAUCUCUUUCGAAAAUACCGCCGCGACCCACGGAAAGCUGUGCAAGAGCUGACGCUGCGCACCCACGCAGAGUGGACUCGCGAGCCUGGUGUACCGUUGCCCACAAUCGCGCCGGAUGUCAAGGAAAGUCCUUGGUAUCACGAGAUGUGUAGCCGCCGCGCAUCUCUGCUGGAGCAAUUGCAUGCAAAACACAAGCGCGACAUCGCCGACGCCCAGGAGCUAGUGUCGAGCUUGUAUCCGGACGGCUGCAACCUCAGCGAGUACGCCGAGGCGCUCCGCACAAGUGCGGCACUUCUUCCCUGUCUUGUGCCAUCUGAAACGAUCGAUCACCUCAUUCAGAAAAGAGGCGCUGACUUUCAGGAGAAGGGACGGCACGAAGUGAGCCACGACGAGCUAGUGUCUGACGUCAUCGAAGGUCUCAUGAUUAGAGUUCUCAUACCGCGACAGUGGUGGUGCCGAGGGACGAGCUCCGUCGCACGCGCCACAAGAACGGGCAUCCAGAGCAACCCCCCGACACUCUACAUCGAGUAUGAGAGGCCGGCAGGUGUGCCGCACGUUCGCCGCAUUCACCUGCGUACUAACCUGCGGCCUGACAUGCCGACAGCGCAGCUAGCGCGGCGGCUCGCGAAGACGCAUGAGGCGCUCCUCUCCGAGGCGCAAUUUCAAUCACUGCUCAUACGAUGCCAGCGCCUUCAAGGGCAGAGCCCUGCGUCGUCAGCGGCGAAUGCACCUUCAACUGGCACGGUCGCAUCAACGCUCGCUGCAGCAUUGCUGCCAACGAUAGCGAACACCGCCUCGCCCGACGCGCCCACAGCCCGCAGCAGCAAGCCGCAGAAGGCGGACUUGGGCCUUCUGUAUCGCGACCCCGACGCUGCGCUGGAAAACGUUGACCUCAACGACGCCGAUGAAGUUACGCUACAGGAGUUCAAGGAGGUCAUGAAUGAGCGCUUCAAAGCCAAAGUCGUGAAGCCUGGCGAUCCGGGGUACGUGUACGACAAGCGUGUCGAAGUGUCGAAGCCCACGCAGAGUAGCGGGUGGGACGACGAUUCUGAUUAGAAGCGGUGCGAACAAGCACUGCUGCCGCAUUCGAGAUGCAUCUGCGUGCCUUUGCACGUGAGUGUGCGUGUCUGUGUGUGUGUGUGUGUGUGUAGACGUCGUUGCCGAUCUGUCUAGUGCUUGUUUUACGUGGGUCUUGAUGAACUGGACACUCGCAUGCUCCUCCGUCACAGCGGUUCCCAAGGCCCGAGACCAU